rnacentral:rRNA from 1 species
AUUGAACGCUGGCGGCAGGCCUAACACAUGCAAGUCGAGCGGAUGAAGGGUGCUUGCUCCUGGAUUCAGCGGCGGACGGGUGAGUAAUGCCUGGGAAUCUGCCUGGUAGUGGGGGGUAACGUCCUGAAACGGGCGCUACUACCGCCUACGUCCUGAGGGUGCAGGUGGGGGGUCUUCGGACCUCUCGCUCUGAGAUGGGCCUAGGUGGGACUAGCUAGGUGGUGGGGUGAAGGCCUUCCAAGGCGGCGAUCGGCAACUGGUCUGAGAGGAUGGUCGAUCACACGGGAACGUGGACGGCGGCCAGGGGCCUGAGGGACGGCCCAGACGGGAAUAUUGGACAGUGGGCGAAAGCCUGAUCCAGCCAUGCCGCGUGUGUGAAGAAGGUCUUCGGAUUGUGAAGCACUUUAAGUUGUGAGGAAGGGCAGUAAGUUAAUACCUUGCUGUUGUGACGUUACCAACAGAAUAAGCACCGGCUAACUUCGUG